rnacentral:lncRNA from 1 species
AGCAACUUUAUCGUCCGGAAGUAGGAACGUCAAUCCACCGGGGUCGGAGUGCGAUGAUAGCCCCAACGUCAACUCCGGUUGUGGGCAUUUUGGAUAAUAAUUCACUCUCAAACAUGCUCCAACAUCUUCUCCUCCAAAUGCAUUUUGUAGGUACCCUUCUUGAAGCCCCAAAUUUAGUGAUAAAAGCUUCAACAAUUUUCCUCCUACCUUCACUACUUCUUCCCCAUACUCCUCUGUCAAUUCUCUACAUUAACAAAAUAAUCCAAUUUCAUUUCUUUACCAAUUAGUUCCAGAUUUUUAUGUUAAUAGGAAUAUAUAUAUAUUCUCUUCAUGUAAAAGUUAAAGUUUUAUUGGUUAUUGUAGACUUAUAUUCUCACCUUUAUCCCAUGAGAGUAAAAAAUAUGGAUGGAAAUGACAUUUAUGGGGUGACUUUGACUUAUUUUUUAUUUUAAAAAUUUUUAGAUAAGAAUCGAGUUGAGUUAGGUUGGGUUGGAUAAGUACCUGAUAGAGUUGGGUAUAACGGGCCAUUUAUUGUGAUCUUUGAGAUGAGAAGGAAGAUAGUGAAGAAAAAAGUAGUCACUCCAAUCAAGAAUAGCUCCUUUUUGAACACCAAGGCGACUACCAUAUCCUUCAUAAGUCUUAGGACUAUUGGCAUAAGUUUGUUUCAUCUCCACUGGCAAUUUGAAAAAAUCAUACCAUGCACGACGGACACCGUCGAGAAGCUCAUCCCGGAUGCCGUGAUUAAUGAUUUGAAAGAACCCCCAAUUACGACAGGCGUCAGAGACUUGGCUAAGAAUGGUGUGUCGAAGGGAGUCGUCUUGAUCGAGAGCGAAGCCGUGGAUGUCAAUAAUUGGGAUGUUUGUGGUGGGAGAGGCGACAGAGAAAACGGUAGGGCGGUCGGACAAAGGCUUGAUGUAACGGGAAGGGACGGCGGAGCAACCACUCUCCGAGAGGGAUUGGACACGAACUAUGGGUUCGGGCCAAUCUUGGUUGAGGUUAGUAGUCAUCACAGCCAAGGGGAGGCUCUUGGAAUUCCAAGGUUGAUAUUUAUUUAUAUAAAUAAAAUUUAAAGGUUUGUUAUUGUAAGGAAACAAACAAUCCAAACGUUUUUUUUUUUUUUUUUUUUUAAGUUAGCACUACCAAGUACGAUGAAUCACUAAUAUAUAUAUAUAUAUAUCUGUUACAACCUUCUUCAUCCUUCUCUAAGAAAAGAAAAUAAAAAGGUAAAAGGGGAGAGGGUAAGACUUUUUU